GUGAGUAACACGUGGAUAACCUGCCUCAAGGCUGGGGAUAACAUUUGGAAACAGAUGCUAAUACCGAAUAAAACUUAGUAUCGCAUGAUAUCAAGUUAAAAGGCGCUACGGCGUCACCUAGAGAUGGAUCCGCGGUGCAUUAGUUAGUUGGUGGGGUAAAGGCUUACCAAGACAAUGAUGCAUAGCCGAGUUGAGAGACUGAUCGGCCACAUUGGGACUGAGACACGGCCCAAACUCCUACGGGAGGCUGCAGUAGGGAAUCUUCCACAAUGGGCGCAAGCCUGAUGGAGCAACGCCGCGUGUGUGAUGAAGGCUUUCGGGUCGUAAAGCACUGUUGUAUGGGAAGAAAUGCUAAAAUAGGGAAUGAUUUUAGUUUGACGGUACCAUACCAGAAAGGGACGGCUAAAUACGUGCCAGCAGCCGCGGUAAUACGUAUGUCCCGAGCGUUAUCCGGAUUUAUUGGGCGUAAAGCGAGCGCAGACGGUUGAUUAAGUCUGAUGUGAAAGCCCGGAGCUCAACUCCGGAAUGGCAUUGGAAACUGGUUAACUUGAGUGUUGUAGAGGUAAGUGGAACUCCAUGUGUAGCGGUGGAAUGCGUAGAUAUAUGGAAGAACACCAGUGGCGAAGGCGGCUUACUGGACAACAACUGACGUUGAGGCUCGAAAGUGUGGGUAGCAAACAGGAUUAGAUACCCUGGUAGUCCACACCGUAAACGAUGAAUACUAGGUGUUAGGAGGUUUCCGCCUCUUAGUGCCGAAGCUAACGCAUUAAGUAUUCCGCCUGGGGAGUACGACCGCAAGGUUGAAACUCAAAGGAAUUGACGGGGACCCGCACAAGCGGUGGAGCAUGUGGUUUAAUUCGAAGCAACGCGAAGAACCUUACCAGGUCUUGACAUCCUUUGAAGCUUUUAGAGAUAGAAGUGUUCUCUUCGGAGACAAAGUGACAGGUGGUGCAUGGUCGUCGUCAGCUCGUGUCGUGAGAUGUUGGGUUAAGUCCCGCAACGAGCGCAACCCUUAUUGUUAGUUGCCAGCAUUCAGUUGGGCACUCUAGCGAGACUGCCGGUGACAAACCGGAGGAAGGCGGGGACGACGUCAGAUCAUCAUGCCCCUUAUGACCUGGGCUACACACGUGCUACAAUGGCGUAUACAACGAGUUGCCAACCUGCGAAGGUGAGCUAAUCUCUUAAAGUACGUCUCAGUUCGGACUGCAGUCUGCAACUCGACUGCACGAAGUCGGAAUCGCUAGUAAUCGCGGAUCAGCACGCCGCGGUGAAUACGUUCCCGGGUCUUGUACACACCGCCCGUCACACCAUGGGAGUUUGUAAUGCCCAAAGCCGGUGGCCUAACCUUCGGGAGGGAGCCGUCUAAGG
rnacentral:rRNA from 1 species